GACGAACGCUGGCGGCGUGCUUAACACAUGCAAGUCGAACGGGAUCCGGGCUUUCGGGUUUGGUGAGAGUGGCGAACGGGUGAGUAACACGUGAGUAACCUGCCCCCUUCUUUGGGAUAACGUCUGGAAAUCGGCGCUAAUACUGGAUAUUCUUGCUGCAUCGCAUGGUGUGGUUUGGAAAGGGUUUCUGGUGGGGGAUGGGCUCGCGGCCUAUCAGGUUGUUGGUGGGGUGAUGGCCUACCAAGGCUUUGACGGGUAGCCGGCCUGAGAGGGUGUCCGGCCACACUGGGACUGAGACACGGCCCAGACUCCUACGGGCGGCAGCAGAGGGGAAUAUUGCGCGAUGGGCGCAAGCCUGAUGCAGCGACGCCGCGUGAGGGAUGCCGGCCUUCGGGUUGUAAACCCCUUUCAGUAUGGAACAAGGAUCCUUCUUUUGGGGGGUUUGAGGGUACGUGCAGAAGAAGCGCCGGCUAACUACGUG
rnacentral:rRNA from 1 species